rnacentral:lncRNA from 1 species
CUCAAAUCCCACAGUUGUGUAUCCUUGGUGUUAAUGACGUUAACAUUUUGUGAAACUGUUAUAAAAGCUCUAUUACUAUUGUUGACGCUAUCUAAAAUGGCAGCCCUAAGAACAUGGAUGAAUCCGGCAGGACAACAAGAAUCUAUAUGGCUUAACCUGUUCUGAAUAAACCUCAUAAUAGAGCAAAUCACUAAAAGCAACACAGAACUGUGAUCAGUUUGCAAGGCCAUAGGGAAACAAUCACUUCUUUUAAAUUAAACAACAUAUGUACAUGGUCUGGCUUUUUAUCCAUUUGAUAUUAUUUGGUAUAGGCACCACUCCACACCCAUACUUACUUAGAUUUGUUAUUAUAUAAAGAUACAUAAUUUCAGUUGUUAAUUUUAUUUUUAAUUAAAGAGUUUGAAGGGGAAAAUCCUUUUCCGUGGCUUUUUAUUUUCUGUCUUUAUCUGAGUGAUACAAGACCUAAUAAUCUUGAUAAGUCAAGCAACACUUGUAUAUAUCCAUUGAUACAGAAUAUAAGAAAUUUUCUUUAGUAAGCAGAAGGUAUUUUUAACCAGGAAAGGCUCUAACUUUAACCUUCCUGAAUCCCCUGCUAGCAUUAACCUACAUGAAUUAACAGUAGAUUGAAUGUCUCAUUAUUUUAAUAUUCACUCAUGCAGUUAUUAACAUCUCCUUUUCUUUCUCUCCUUCUGUCUGGUCCAAUCUUCUUAAUGUAUUCCACCAUAGUGCUGAAAGGCAGUGAUAGCUAUACCCGACUCGUCUGGUACUGUUGUUAAUGGAAUGGACAAGGCGCAAGAUACCCCAAAGGGAACAGGGAAGAGGGAGCCCAUGCUCCACCACCUAAUCAGUGACCAGUACAGCUGUCACCUGGAGUACAGGGAAGAGUAUGCUGUCGCAAACGGACAUAGGAGUGUGAUGAGGAGCUCCAGGAAGACUUCCACCAGUAGCUCUACCCUGCCACUGCUCCCAAUGCAGGCCAACGUUUAUAAGGUCCCAUGCAGCCCCGAGUGAGUAGCCAUGCUUGUAUAAAGUGGAGGAAAGAAAUGUCUGUGGGUUAGUUAAGAAAUAGCUAUUCAGGAGUGUGGUGCAGUAUAUGACUAGAGAUUGUAAUUGCUAUGCCCAGUUUUGGACAUUAUCUUAUCCUGAUUUAUGAAAUAUCAUUUCCAUUCUGCUAAAUAACUAUAGCAACAGCCUUUCAGAGUUGUCUCCACAAUAUUUUAAUGUUGUUAUAAGUAACAACUAUUAUUAUGCAGACAAAAACACCUUGCCAAUCAAUGCAUGUGAACUCCACUUUAAAAGUGAAUUAAUGUUGUCUAUUGACUUUUGACUUUGUAUUUUAAGCAGAUGGGAUGUGUCCAUGACAACUUUCCUUUUGAAAAGUUAAAUCCCAAAGAGAAAAAAGGUCCAGAAUUUCUGUUGAUAAAAUGGAGUAUUGGCUGCUU